UACGUAGGGUGCAAGCGUUAUCCGGAAUUAUUGGGCGUAAAGAGCUCGUAGGCGGUUUGUCGCGUCUGCUGUGAAAACCGGAGGCCCAACCUCCGGCCUGCAGUGGGUACGGGCAAACUAGAGUGCGGUAGGGGAGAUUGGAAUUCCUGGUGUAGCGGUGGAAUGCGCAGAUAUCAGGAGGAACACCGAUGGCGAAGGCAGAUCUCUGGGCAUUAACUGACGCUGAGGAGCGAAAGCAUGGGGAGCGAACAGG
rnacentral:rRNA from 1 species